rnacentral:rRNA from 1 species
AUUGAACGCUGGCGGCAGGCCUAACACAUGCAAGUCGAACGAGUGGCGGACGGGUGAGUAAUGUCUGGGAAACUGCCUGAUGGAGGGGGAUAACUACUGGAAACGGUAGCUAAUACCGCAUACCAUCGGAUGUGCCCAGAUGGGAUUAGCUGGUUGGUGGGGUAAAGGCUCACCUGGGCGACGAUCCCUAGCUGGUCUGAGAGGAUGACCAGACACACUGGAACGUAGAAACGGUCCAGACUCCUACGGGAGGCAGCAGUGGGGAAUAUUGCACAAUGGGCGCAAGCCUGAUGCAGCCAUGCCGCGUGUAUGAAGAAGGCCUUCGGGUUGUAAAGUACUUUCAGCGGGGAGGCGUUACCCGCAGAAGAAGCACCGGCUAACUCCGUGCCAGCAGCCGCGGUAAUAC